rnacentral:rRNA from 1 species
AUUGAACGCUGGCGGCAUGCCUUACACAUGCAAGUCGAACGGCAGCGGACCUUCGGGUGCCGGCGAGUGGCGAACGGGUGAGUAAUAUAUCGGAACGUACCUUUCAGUGGGGGAUAACGUAGCGAAAGUUACGCUAAUACCGCAUAUUCUGUGAGCAGGAAAGCAGGGGAUCGCAAGACCUUGCGCUGAUUGAGCCGGCCGAUAUCAGGUUAGCUAGUUGGUGAGGUAAGGACUCACCAAGGCGACGAUCUGUAGCGGGUCGUGAGAGGAUGAUCCGCCACACUGGAACUGACACACGGUCCACGACGUCCUA